rnacentral:tRNA from 1 species
GCCUGUUUAGCUGAGUUGGUAGAGCACCCCGCUCACUAAGCGGGAGGUCGUGGCUUCGAACCCCACAGGGGGCC